rnacentral:misc_RNA from 1 species
UUUAAACUUCUCAACCAUAGUGUAGACCUGCAUUGAGAAGACAAGCAAGAAAAAAAAUUAAUUUAUAAUAGUGUUUUUCUCAAACAUAUUUAUUCACUUUUUCAAGAAUAAACCCUAUUCAUUGCAUACUUGGGACUACAAUACUUUCAGUUGGGUUCCAAUUUUGCAAUGGACAGGCAACAGGUUUGUAAUUUGCAACUAUUGAUACAUUUUCAGCAUGAGCUUGUUUGUUGUGAAUCUUAAUCACAAAACUGCAUAAUUUGCAGUUUGCAUGGAUUUAUUGCUCUUUGUUGCUGUUAUGCUGUGAAUGACAGCAAGUACCUUAGCCCUUUAAAUACCAAUUUAUUGGCUCAUAAUGUCAAUUUAAAUACAUUGUAAAGCCUAAAAAUUCAGUAAGCAUGAGAAAUUCCAAAACUAGCAAAAUUCCCCUACAAAAUUUUAUGAAAAAGAAGAAAACAAGGCACUUCUUUUCCAAUCAGACAAUUAGCCUACUUCACAUUGGAAGUGAGAUUAAUCAGUAUCACCAAAGUUCUAUUUCAAACAAUCUUCAAUUGGUCAUUAAUUCAUAUCAUGGGAUCUAAACUGUCACAACACAUUACCUUCCUUACUCCAGAUGUCAAUCCUAAGUUCGAAAGGUCCUUCUUCUCCACAUAUUUCCAGCUUGGACCUUCAUUUUUGUGCUUACUAAGAAACUCACUCAUCCCAACUUCAUGAAAAGAGAAAACAAAUAAAUAAUAGUUAUAUAAAUCACGUCACUAUAUACUCAUCAACAAACCAAUGCUAAUAUUGUUCUACUACUAUUAUUAUUAUUAUUCAUAGAAAAUUAUUAAUAAAAAAUUCUGACCAUUUCAUAAUGCGAUAACAAUGUUGAAUUAUCAGAGUCUUGCUUUUCUAGUACAAACUUAUGGUGCAGAAAAUGAGAAAGGGAGAGUAUGUUAAGCUCCUUACCUUUAAGAUGUAUUACCAGCAAUUCCACAUAAACCUUGAGACGG